rnacentral:rRNA from 1 species
CCUACGGGAGGCAGCAGUGGGGAAUUUUGGACAAUGGGCGCAAGCCUGAUCCAGCAAUGCCGCGUGAGUGAAGAAGGCCUUCGGGUUGUAAAGCUCUUUUGUCAGGGAAGAAACGGUGGGGGCUAAUAUCUCCUACUAAUGACGGUACCUGAAGAAUAAGCACCGGCUAACUACGUGCCAGCAGCCGCGGUAAUACGUAGGGUGCAAGCGUUAAUCGGAAUUACUGGGCGUAAAGCGUGCGCAGGCGGUUUUGUAAGUUCUGUCGUGAAAGCCCCGGGCUCAACCUGGGAAUUGCGAUGGAGACUGCAAGGCUUGAAUCUGGCAGAGGGGGGUAGAAUUCCACGUGUAGCAGUGAAAUGCGUAGAGAUGUGGAAGAACACCGAUGGCGAAGGCAGCCCCCUGGGUCAAGAUUGACGCUCAUGCACGAAAGCGUGGGGAGCAAACAGGAUUAGAUACCCUGGUAGUCCACGCCCUAAACGAUGUCUACUAGUUGUCGGGUUUUAAUUAACUUGGUAACGCAGCUAACGCGUGAAGUAGACCGCCUGGGGAGGUACGGUCGCGAAGUAGUAAACUUAGAAGUAAGUUAGAGNGNGNGAGNGCGAGACGACGACGAGGAGGAGG